rnacentral:rRNA from 1 species
UACGGGGGGAGCAAGCGUUGUUCGGAUUUACUGGGCGUAAAGGGCGCGUAGGCGGUCAGCACAAGUCAGUUGUGAAAUCUCCGGGCUUAACCCGGAAAGGUCAACUGAUACUGUGCGACUAGAGUGCGGAAGGGGCAACUGGAAUUCUCGGUGUAGCGGUGAAAUGCGUAGAUAUCGAGAGGAACACCUGCGGCGAAGGCGGGUUGCUGGGCCGACACUGACGCUGAUGCGCGAAAGCUAGGGGAGCAAACAGG